rnacentral:rRNA from 2 species
AAGAGUGCGUAAUAGCUCACUAGUCGAGUGAUCCUGCGCCGAAAAUGUAACGGGGCUAAACACAUUACCGAAAUCGUGGAUGCAACUAUGUUGCAUGGUAGGAGAGCGUUCUAAGGGCGAUGAAGCUAGACCGUAAGGACUGGUGGAGCGCUUAGAAGUGAGAAUGCCGGUAUGAGUAGCGAAAGAUCAGUGAGAAUCUGGUCCACCGUAUGACUAAGGUUUCCUGGGGAAGGCUCGUCCUCCCAGGGUUAGUCGGGACCUAAGCCGAGGCCGAGAGGCGUAGGCGAUGGAUAACAGGUUGAGAUUCCUGUACUGGUUUGAUUUGUUUGAACGAUGGAGGGACGCAGGAGGCUAGAGAUGCGUGCUGUUGGAUAUGCACGUCCAAGCAACGAGUCUGAUGAUGAGUCAAAUGCUUAUCGUCUUAAGGACAAGUUGUGACGGGGAGCGAAAUUAAAGUAGCGAAGUGAUCGAUGUCAUACUGCCGAGAAAAGCUUCUAGUUAGAAUCAGACCACCCGUACCGCAAACCGACACAGGUAGUCGAGGCGAGUAGCCUAAGGUGAGCGAGAGAACUCUCGUUAAGGAACUCGGCAAAAUGACCCCGUAACUUCGGGAGAAGGGGUGCUGCACAAUGUGCAGCCGCAGUGAAUAGGCCCAGGCGACUGUUUAUCAAAAACACAGGUUUCUGCAAAAUCGUAAGAUGAAGUAUAGGGGCUGACGCCUGCCCGGUGCUGGAAGGUUAAGAGGAUGGGUUAGCGUAAGCGAAGCUCAGAAUUGAAGCCCCAGUAAACGGCGGCCGUAACUAUAACGGUCCUAAGGUAGCGAAAUUCCUUGUCGGGUAAGUUCCGACCCGCACGAAAGGCGUAACGAUCUGGGCACUGUCUCAACGAGAGACUCG